AGCAUUUAGACCAUUAUUCUGGAUUUCCUGCUGUUUUUGUGUCUUUUAUUGUCCUGGCUGUCCUGUUGGCUGUGAUGACCCCCUUUGCUGUGAAUGCAGCAUACAGACUGACAUGUAAGGAUAAAAUCAAGAAGAAUGUCCGGAGUCGUGGAUCUGAUCCAGAGGUACCGCAGUUGGAGGGUGGUGCCCAACUAGAAGGUGACUAUCAGACGCUCUCUCAUAAGGAUCAGGCCGUGUAUGAAGUGUGCGCCCCACAAACAAACACAAAAAGGCAGUGAGCCAAGGACGUCGAGUCUUCGUUUCCUCCUCUUUUCUCUCAGAUCUGCAUUGACAUGAAAGCCCUGGCCUCGAUUAAGUUGCUCACAGUCUGACCAACAGGUGGCGCCGUGGCUUUAGGUUUUCCAAGAGAGUCCCCAGCCCUUGACUUCUGCACCCAGCGUGACUUUGACUCUGUGACGUGGCUCACCAGGUGGCCCUGUUCUGAUCUGAUCUUUCCAUCUGCUCCUUUAAAUCUCCAUCUGGUUUCAUUUCUUUCACAUUCUCACAUUUCUCAGAUAAAAUAAUAAAUCACACACAA